GUCCUUAGUGGGGCUUCCCGUGCACUCUAUGGUUUGUCAUUUUGUCCAAAUCAGAUUAUGUCAAAUGAUCAAAAUGUCAUGCUUCUCUAAUACUCAAAAAUCGUAUACGGCGCGCACCAGCCCAUUUUUUAUUUGUUUUGCCACUACUCAGCUCUUCUUUACUGUGCCGUUCGAAAUCUGACGUCGCUCUUCCACCAUCGGCAUCGUGAUCAGCUCCUAUCACCACCGGCGUUGUGAUGAAAUCAAGUCUGUUUAUGCGAGAAACUUGCCACCUUCUGUAUCUAUUUUUGAAGUGGAGGAGGAAUUCAAGAAUUUUGGUAAACUCAGUGAUGAGGGUGUGGUCAUACGAAGUCACAAGGAUGUAUGUGUUCCACUCUCAUCCCUUGCAGAAUUAAUAUCAAGGUCCAAACAAGAGCUCAACACAUCACCACUGGUCUAGUAUGUCUAAUCAGAAUGACUAUUCUUUUGUGGACAUAAAGAUUGAGCUGAAGUCGUUUGCACCCAAUGAUUGCUUAUAAAACAGAGGUAACGAU